CACUUAUUUUUAGAGAAAAAUAAUGAAAAAGUGUAAUACGUCUUAAUGAUUGAUUUUCAAACAUCCCUAUUUUAGAAAAUGAAAUAUCCCACCGAUGUCUGCUACUCUCUUUUCAAGCUUUCUUUGUACAUUAAAGCGUUUGCGUCAAAGAUUAGGGCAUGCAGCUAAAUGCAGUUAAAAUCCAUUCACGCUCUGAGGAGACUAAGCAAUGUAAAGCCCGAUCGGGCCCGGUGAUUUCCGAGGCGCAGCCGAGGCAGCACAUCGAAUACGCGGAUAUGUUGCAGCAUUUUUGCAGCUUUCGAGGCGGAAUUUCUCUUCAAGAAUCUUUUCCCAGUUCAGCAUUUAUCGAACUUUCAAAAUGGUAUCGUGGAGGAUAAGUAUAGAAGCUUGCUCCUACUCGGCCCAUCACAGCCAUGUGAAUGCGGCCAAUUCUCACGCUGUGGGAGCGUCAUCUGCAUUCACUUGAAGGGACAAAGCUGCAUCAGAGCACGCCUGAAGCUUUGAGGAAGACACUGGCGGCUGGCACAGACGACUUCUGGCCGUCCACCCAGCAUGGCCAUGGCUGAAGGCGGGGCCUGUGGGACGCGUUAGAUCAGUGGAAGAAGUCGCAUCACUUACACCGUGACUACUGCUGUGUGCAUAGUGUGGAGCUGCCAGCAGAAUUGACCAGUCACCAGGAGCAGCAGAACCAAGCUGGGCUUCCAUGUCCGUAAGGUCCAGAUUGUCUUGAUUGCUGUGGCUUCUUUCACAUUGAGGCAGCAGGCGAAAGCCUGCCUUUGGUAGACGUCAGUGGUUUAUCAUGGUAUACUGGCCUUCCAUCCUUUAACUGAAGGAACAUAAUUGUCAGUUUGAACCUUUCAUUACUGGGUCCAAUGAAUGUUGUUCAAGGGUGAUGUGAACUGUGAGAAUUUUAAAAAGUACCACAAGCAAGUACAUGUCCAUGCUACAAAUGAAUGUACUAACACAAAUGUAUUUAACAUGUAUAGCUGUGAUCUGAGAAAAAAAUCCGAAAUUGAGGCCACUUUAUUGAGGAGUGCCGUAACAUUUCUAGUGAUGGAAAUAAAAAGUGGAAAUCCUCAGCUGUUGUUACAAUUUA